UCCGUAGGUGAACCUGCGGAAGGAUCAUUAUUGAAU
rnacentral:rRNA from 11 species